rnacentral:rRNA from 1 species
CUACGGGUUGCAGCAGUGGGGAAUAUUGCACAAUGGGCGCAAGCCUGAUGCAGCGACGCCGCGUGAGCGAUGAAGUAUUUCGGUAUGUAAAGCUCUAUCAGCAGGGAAGAUAAUGACGGUACCUGACUAAGAAGCACCGGCUAAAUACGUGCCAGCAGCCGCGGUAAUACGUAUGGUGCAAGCGUUAUCCGGAUUUACUGGGUGUAAAGGGAGCGUAGGUGGUUUGGCAAGUCAGAUGUGAAAGCCUGGGGCUCAACCCCGGAACUGCAUUUGAAACUGCCAGACUAGAGUGCAGGAGAGGUAAGUGGAAUUCCUAGUGUAGCGGUGAAAUGCGUAGAUAUUAGGAGGAACACCAGUGGCGAAGGCGGCUUACUGGACUGUAACUGACACUGAGGCUCGAAAGCGUGGGGAGCAAACAGGAUUAGAUACCCCGGUAGUC